UUAACCUACGGGAGGCAGCAGUGGGGAAUAUUGCACAAUGGGCGCAAGCCUGAUGCAGCGACGCCGCGUGCGGGAUGGAGGCCUUCGGGUUGUAAACCGCUUUUGUUCAAGGGCAAGGCACGGUCUUUGGCCGUGUUGAGUGGAUUGUUCGAAUAAGCACCGGCUAACUACGUGCCAGCAGCCGCGGUAAUACGUAGGGUGCAAGCGUUAUCCGGCUUUAUUGGGCGUACAGGGCUCGUAGGCGGUUCGUCGCGUCCGGUGUGCAAGUCCAUCGCUUACCGGUGGAUCCGCGCCGGGUCCGGGCG
rnacentral:rRNA from 1 species